AUUGAACGCUGGCGGCAGGCCUAACACAUGCAAGUCGAGCGAGCGGCGGACGGGUGUGUAAUGUCUGGGAAACUGUCCGUUGGAGGGGGAUAACUACUGGAAACGGUAGCUAUUACCGCAUACCAUCAGAUGUGCCCAGAUGGGAUUAGCUGGUAGGUGGGGUGACGGCUCACCGAGGCGACGAUCCCUAGCUGGUCUGAGAGGAUGACCAGCCACACUGGAACUGAGACACGGUCCAGACUCCUACGGGAGGCAGCAGUGGGGAAUAUUGCACAAUGGGCGCAAGCCUGAUGCAGCCAUGCCGCGUGUGUGAAGAAGGCCUUCGGGUUGUAAAGCACUGUCAGCGGGGAGGCGUUACCCGCAGAAGAAGCACCGGCUAACUCCGUGCCAGCAGCCGCGGUAAUAC
rnacentral:rRNA from 1 species